rnacentral:tRNA from 1 species
GCUCUAGUAGCUUAUACUUUAAAAGCGUUGCCCUUGUAAGACAAAGCAGGACUAACCCCUAGAGCA